AGGACGAACGCUGGCGGCGUGCUUAACACAUGCAAGUCGAACGGUGAACCACUUCGGUGGGGAUCAGUGGCGAACGGGUGAGUAACACGUGGGCAACCUGCCCUUAGCUCUGGGAUAACCCCGGGAAACCGGGGCUAAUACCGGAUACGACUCCGAGCGGCAUCGCUCGGGGUGGAAAGUUUUUCGGCUAAGGAUGGGCCCGCGGCCUAUCAGCUUGUUGGUGGGGUAACGGCCUACCAAGGCGACGACGGGUAGCCGGCCUGAGAGGGCGACCGGCCACACUGGGACUGAGACACGGCCCAGACUCCUACGGGAGGCAGCAGUGGGGAAUAUUGCGCAAUGGGCGAAAGCCUGACGCAGCGACGCCGCGUGAGGGACGAAGGCCUUCGGGUCGUAAACCUCUUUCAGCAGGGACGAAGCGCAAGUGACGGUACCUGCAGAAGAAGCACCGGCUAACUACGUGCCAGCAGCCGC
rnacentral:rRNA from 1 species